rnacentral:rRNA from 1 species
UACGUAGGGUCCGAGCGUUGUCCGGAAUUAUUGGGCGUAAAGAGCUCGUAGGCGGUUUGUCGCGUCUGCCGUGAAAGUCCGGGGCUCAACUCCGGACUUGCAGUGGGUACGGGGCAGGCUAGAGUGUGGUAGGGGAGACUGGAAUUCCUGGUGUAGCGGUGAAAUGCGCAGAUAUCAGGAGGAACACCGGUGGCGAAGGCGGGUCUCUGGGCCGUAACUGGACGCUGAGGAGCGAAAGCAUGGGGAGCGAACAGG